rnacentral:lncRNA from 1 species
GACCAGAAGUAAGAUGCGGCUAUCAGCAACGACUCGUUUCUGUGCAUAUCGGCAAUGGACAGCCUGAUGCAUUGAGCUAAUUUCCUCUCACCCCAUUGAAUUUCAUAAGAGUUGCUGACCCUCAAGAACCAGUCUUUCCAUCCUACAGUAGGGCUAGGCCAAGAACGAAAGGUGUCUUUCCAUAGAUCUAGAGUAAAGUUUUCAGCUCUAAAGGGAAUCCUGUUGGUUUCUGCGUUGAUGAGGUCGGUUGGAUCUGGAUCCCCUAGGGGGCCGAGACACUGAAGAUGCGGUUGAUCGGUAGGGAUGACAAUUUUGUUGGAUAAUUCCUGGUGUUUUGGGGAAUAAAAAUACAAAGAAAAAGGGGGAAGGAAAAUAUUCGGUAAGGUAAAUUGCAGAUGAACAGGAAUGCAGGAAAAAGGUACAAUGGAUGAGAUGAAAGUCUGACCUCGGGGACGAUGAAACCGACGGCCAUCUUGUCGUGAAGGUGGGCGCUGGAAGACGCCGGAGUUGACGAAGAAGGAUGCUUGUCGGAGAUCUUGAGGGUUGAGAAGGGCGCCGCCGCUGGAAAAGUAAAGUUGGAUGGCAGGAUGGUGUAGUGGGAAAGGAGUACCCAAGAAGGAGCUAUUUAUAGGGCAAGAUGGACAGGGGCAAAUCUGACUUAUUUCUUUGCCACAUCCGAGAAACCCGAGGUAC